ACCUUCAGCAGCCACCACCCUGAUCAGCCAGGAGGUAUCUGCAUCUAGGCAAGACCUUCCACCAGCAAAAAGAUGACAACUUGCUGAAGGCUCAGAUGCUCAGUAGCAUAUUUAGCAAUAAAGUAUUGUUUAUGCACUUUGGUUUUUUAGGCAUUGUCUGUUGCACACUUAAUACACUGUAGUGUAAACAUAACUUUUGGAUGCACUUGGAAACCCAAAAAUUCGUGUGACUCAUUUUAUUGUGAUUCUUUCUUGUGGUCUGCAACCAGAUCCAUGAUACCUCUGAGGUCUGCCAUAUUCUUUGGUAUGGAAAUAAUGAUCAAAAUAAUGCAAUUCAGUGUGUAAAUGGUAGGUGGGGCCAGGUUCUUUCUGUAUUUGGUGAACCUGGACUGGAACGUGCAAGCGUCUGUUGGAAUGUGACUUGGUGGAAAGAAAGGAAGAAGGGCGGGUCAGAUGAGCUCAUGAUGUGAUUCUUAAAAUUUUGCCAAUUGUCAGAAAAAUCACUGUCUUGGACAAGUGUUUGUACUAAUGACUUGUAGUUUUAGCAGCAUAUGAACUGGUCAGCAUCUUUGGUGGGCAGGUUAUAAAGAAUGUUUCCACUUUCUACUAUGGUUACUGCACCAUUCAGAUAUCCUGAUUCUGAGGUAAUGUAUGCAUUUUCAUUUAGGUUUUCAAAUUUGUUGGCAUUCAUUUUUACAUAGGUUCCUUGAUAAUUUUUCAAAUAUUCAUUUUUGAGUUAUAUUCCUUAAUAUUUUCUAUUCAUGGCUCUCUUUUCCCUUGCUGGUCACAUUUACCAAAUUUUGUUUAUGUCUUUCAAGAAUUAUCUUUUUUUGGGGGUGGGUGUUACUUAUUUUACUAUAGAUACAUUUUUUUUUCUUUUGCUUUAUUCAUAAAUUACUUUUUUUUUUUUCCCCCUGAGACGGUGUUUGGCUCUUGGUUGGUCCUGCCCAGACCCACAGGAGGUGGCACAGCUGCCACUUCUAGUUUCUGGAGCCACCUCUGAGCUCCCUAAUGUUGCAGUGCUCCCCACUGCUCACACACAUACCUUCCCCUGAGGUGGUUCUAGUCUGCUCCCUCCCUGACCCCAAGUACAGAAGCUCUGUUUUUUCCUAUUUGUGGCAAAAUCCUGUCUUCCUUGUAGAUGUCAGGAUGUAGCUGGUUAACUCUGUUUCUAGAUUAAAGAUUCUCAAAAUAUGGUUCUGGGAUAAGUAGCAGCCCCAUCCUCACUGAAAACAAUGGGAAAACCUGGAUAAAAUGCAGAUAUGGAUAUUGAAAAACUUCCAAGAUGGGCAGAACUUGAGUGGUCAAGAUUAAGAGAGAAGGACAUUUGUGGAUGUGAGUUUUAUAUUCUGAGCUCAUCACCCCCU
rnacentral:lncRNA from 1 species